GAUGAGAAUACGGGAGAAAGAGGGAGAUAGCGGCUAUGGCCGAUUUAGGGCUAAAAGAACGCAUAAAUCAUGAAACCAAAGUAUGCUAUAUCAAGCAUAGGUUGAGUUUUAGCAUCCAAAUUGAAGGAAGAAGCCAUUUUUGGUUGAUGAGGUGAAGAAGAACUCGAUUAAGGGUUUAAAACUCGAACUUCAGGCUAAAAUUGAGGCAGAUUCCAAUUCAUUAGACRGAUUAAAUUCCAUUCCUGCCAACCAAACACUUGGUCAAACRCCCCUCUGUGCGCAAAUAACCAACCAAUCGAUUAAUUAUGGCGGCGACACCCUCCGCCGGAGUAGAAGCACUCCACUGCCUGAAACUGACGGAGCCACCGAUGUACCUAACUCCAUCGUCGGAACUUGCUACUGCCGCUCGUAUUGCUUCGGAGCACUUAUUCGCUUCAGUCAAACCCUACACUCCUAAAUCACCAUUCGACCGCCUCUUUGUAGACGAGAAGUUCGACGCCGAGCAGAUUUGGUAGCAAAUUGACCUUCAAUCUUAGCUGUUGAUAUUCGCCAUUCGCCAUCAAGUAAACAAGUUUGAGAAGGAUCCGCAAGAGCUUAAAGAUAUUUUUAAGAGUGGUGAGUCUGAUCAAGAGCAGAAGAGGGAGUUUGUUUUAGAGGGGGAGAAAGAAGAAGAAGACGAAGAGGAUGAUGAACUUGAUGACGAAAGCAACGAAGAAGAGGACGAGGAUGAGGAUGAGAUCGAAGAAGAUGAAAGCGGAGACGGAGAGAGAGAACGUAAAGAGAGAGGCGGAGUUGGUGUUGAAGAUAAGCUUUUAAAUAUACAGGAGAUGAAGGAGUCCAUGGAAGAUGAUGAAUCUAGAGAAUACGGAGUUAACAAAAAGAAACAAGUGGUGAAGAAAAUGGCUAGAAAGUUUGGGGAAGACGAUGAAGAAGAAGAUGAUGAUGAAGACGAUGACGAUGAGCUUGGAGUUCUUGAACUUGCAGGGGAAGAAGACAUGUCAGAUGCUGAAGAUGCUGGGUGAUACUUUCAUUACGCAUUUAUGUAUUGUGAC